rnacentral:rRNA from 1 species
AUAUCAAUAAGCGGAGGAAAAGAAACCAACAGGGAUUGCCCCAGUAACGGCGAGUGAAGCGGCAACAGCUCAAAUUUGAAAUCUGGCAUCAGCCCGAGUUGUAAUUUGUAGAGGAUGCUUCGGGUGCGGUCCGGUCUAAGUUCCUUGGAACGUGGACGCACAGAGGGUGAGAAUCCCGUACGUGACCGGGUGCCCAGCCCAUGUGAAGCUCCUUCGACGAGUCGAGUUGUUUGGGAAUGCAGCUCAAAAUGGGUGGUAAAUUUCAUCUAAAGCUAAAUAUUGGCCAGAGACCGAUAGCGCACAAGUA